GGGGUCACAUGACAGCGAGGGCAGUGCUGAGCUUCCAGGGUAGCUCUGAAGGCCAGGGCUGUGAAGGUCUCGGUGAGUCCGGGACUGAGGACUCUCCCCACUGUGGGGUGAGGGAUGUUUCCUCAUCCUGAGGCCUCAGCUCCUCGAUGUCGCAAGGAGCCUCGCAGAGCCUCAGCACCGGAGCUCCGCAGUCUCAGGUCCCCAGCCUGAGAGGGAGUAGGGGGCAGGCGGGCGGCGGCCGAACCUCGCGGACCCUGUACCGGAAGCAGCCAAAUCACCGCGGGGGCGCGGAGGGCGCAGGACGUGGCGGCUCCUGCAUUCCUCAGCUCUCACACCCUGCGUCCGCACCCUCAGGCAGCCCGGAACUGCCAGUGACGGCGGGGCCCGGAAGAGCUGAGUCAGCGCCGGCGACCCAGAUGCCCUCGAGCAACGCGGGCGGAGAGGGAGAGACGGGCGCGCUCCGGGACUGCGCGCCGCCGCGUCUGGGCGGUCCGAUUCCUUCCCGCCCUGCCUGGGCCCCGGUCAGGCGAAGGGUUUCCGCGAUCGCGCCCUGGGGUCGAGUCACCCAAGAUGCCGGAAGGGAAGAAGGCCAAGGAGAAGAACUUGGCUCUGGUCCCUUCUGUUGUGCAGAAGUAGGAGGCCAAGAAGGUGAUGAAUCCCCUGUGUGAGAAAAGGCCAAGGAAAUUUGGCAUUGGACAGGACAUCCAGCCCAAGAAGGACCUCACCUGCUUUGUCAAAUGCCUCUGCUACAUCUGACUGCCAUGGCAGAGGGCUACCCUAUGUAAGCAGCUAAAGAUGUCUCCUGCACUUAACCAGUAUACCCAGGCCUUGGACUGCCAAACAGCCACCUAACUGCUUUAAGCUUGCACACAAGUACAGAUCAGACACCCAAGAGAACAAACAGAGGCUGUUGGCCCAGGCUGAGAAGAAAGCUACUGACAAAGGAUCAUCCCUACUAAGAGACUACCAGUCUUCAGAGCAGAUGUUAACACUAUCACCACCCUGGUGGAGAACAAGAAGGCUGUUAGCAGUGAUAGCACAUGACUCGGACCCCACUGAGCUGGAUGUAUUCCAGCCUGCCCUGAGUCGCAAGACAGGGGUCCCUUACUAUAUCAUCAGGGGAAGGCCAGGCUGGGGCAUCUAUGCCACAGGAAGAUAUGUACCACUGUUGCCUUCGUACAAUUUAACUUGGAAGACAAAGGGACUCGGCUGAGCUGGUGGAAGCUAUCAGGACCUAUGACAAUGACAGAUAUGAUGAGAUCCCUGUCACUGGGAAGACAACAUCCUGGGUCCAAAAUCUGUAGCUCGCAUUACCAAGCUGGGAAAGGGAAAGGCUAAAGAACUUGCUCCUAAACUGACCAAAAUGUUCUUUGGAGUUUUCUGUACAUAAAAAGAAUAAAUUGUCCUUAAUCCAGUGGGGGAGGGGGUGUUUACUGGGUUGAGGAUGUAGCUUAGUGGUAGAGUUCUUGCCUAGCAUGUGAGAGACCCUGGGUUCAAUCUUCAGUACUGAAAAAAAUUUACUUAUAAUCAAUAUUAUUAUCUUUUUGCUGUUGAAGAAAACAAUGGCUCUGUAUUGAGUAAUGUCAGGCACAUCUGCUAUGGCUCUCAAGGCUGAAAUGAUAAAAACAGCUCCUUGUAAACUCUCCCCACCAUUUGAAAAUCAACUCAAAGUGUAAGUCCUUCUUAAUCUGAUCAGUGAUUUCAUAAAGAGAAAAUGGAUAAAGCUGAAAAUAGAUGUAAUGUCACAAGAUCUUUUGAACAAAGUUUUAUAUUUAGAAACUUGGACCUGCCUAGGGCAGUGGGACUGAACAUGGAAGAAAAAGAAGGUCAAGAAGCUAUUCCUUUUUCUCCUAAGCUCUUUGACACUACUUUGUCACCAUGUACAUAUUUGCUUCUUUUUUGUUGCUUUGUUUGGAUAUGGCCUAAGUGCUCGCCUUGGAGACAGUCUGCUUGACAGCCCUUCAAACUGAAAACUAGGGCCUGGGAUUUAGCUCUGGUUUCGCCACCUGCUGCGCAAGUACAAGGACCCAAGUUCGAUCCCUAGUACCAAAAAGGAAAAAAACAAAACAAAACUGAAAACUAAUCUGAGUCCUAGGUCCAGUUCUAAUGUAACAAACACUAGAAUUAUUUUCUAUUUUGUUAUUGUUUUUAUUUUUUAUUGUGAAAUUCUUUUCUAGUUAUAUAUUGAGUCAAUGAUCUCAUACUACAUAUAAUAUUAAACAUCAUUUUAAAAAGUUUAACUCAAUAGAAUAUUUAAAAAGCCAUUUUCAAUUCCUCACUGGCAAAAUAUUUUCUCAUCUUCCUCCUCUUCCUCCUCCUCUUCCUUUCUUCCUUCUUCAUUUUUCUUGGUCAGUAUUAAGAAUAUUCAUUCCUGAUGACAAAACAAUCAGUUCGUAGAGGUUUCAGUCCAUAAUUGGCUGGCUCCAUGGUUGGGAUGACAAACAUGCAUCGCAGAGGAGAAACAACAUAUGCGCACUGGGCAGCACAGGUAAUGAGAACAAACACUAGAAUUUUGCUCUUUCAUUGUUCUAUCCUAGGAACUAUUUUCAGUUGCUGCUAUUCAUUCAUCAAUCCAACUUGUAUUUAUUAAAUGGCUACUAGGUGCCAGACAUUGUGCUAGGUACUCAAGAUGUUCUCAAACAUCCAACUAAAUUUUGAUAACUAUUGUAUGCAGCUACAGAGACAGGGUCCCUAGGUUUGUUGCUAGUGAAUAUUUGGAUGAUAUAAUAGAAUAUAGCUUUUUUUAAAAGCAAAACAUUUAUUGGUACAUUUUAAAUAUACAUAAUGAUAACAUCCAUCAUAGGGAAUUUGUACCUGUACAUGGUGUAUCUUGCUUCUUUUUUUUGGUACUGAGGAUCGAACUUGGGUCCUUGCGCUUGUGCAGCAGGUGGCAAAACCACUGAGCUAAAUCCCUGGCCAAAGUUAGAUUUCUUUUUAUUUUUUUGAUACUGGGGAUUGAACUCUUCCUUCAUUUUUUUCCAUUCCCCCCCUUCAAUCCCUCUUCCCCUCCUUAUAUACAAAAGCUUUGUUUCCAUUUUCUUUUUCUAUCUUCUAUGUUUUUCUUGUCCCAUCUUUCCUUUCCCCCUUCCCUAUCCUUUGUUCUUCUCAUUUGAACAUUUUCUUCCCAUUUCCUAAUAUCCAUUAUACAUUUUUAGUCCUUAUUUCCACUUUCAGUUCCUCAGACCAGAGAAAUAAUUUGGUAUUUAAACAUAUGUGUUCAAUGUAUUUCACUUAAGAGUUUGGUCUUGAGGUGCAUCCAUUUAGCUAGAAAUGUCUCAAGCUCAUCCCUCUUUCUUUCUUUUUUUUUUUUGUACCAGAAAUUGAACUCAGCACCUUGCACUUGCCAGGCAGGCACGGAGCCCCUGAGCUACAUCCCCAGUCCUCAUACUUACUCUUCUUUAUGGGAGAGUAGUAAUCAUUGUAUAAAAAAACCCCAUAUCUUCUUUAUCCAUUCUUCAGUUGUUGGGUAUUUGGGCUGUUUCCAAGAUUUAGCUAUUACACACUGUGCCGCUAUAAACAUGGGUGUGCCUGUAUCACUGUGGAAUGAUGCUUUUAAUUCUUUUGGGAAGAUCCCCAGCAGGGGAAUAGCUGGGUCAAAUGCAACCUGUAAUCCUAGUUCUUUGAGGUAUCUCCACACUGAUUUCCACAGUGGUUGCACCAGUCUACACUCUCACCAAUAGUGGAGAAGAGUUCCUUUUUCCUCACAGACCCUCCAGCAUUUGUUAUUGGUGAAUUUCUUUGGGUUUUUUUGUUUUUCUUUUUGGUACCAGGGAUCAAACUCAGGACUUUGGGCUUGAAAAGCAGGCAGUGGCACCACUGAGCUAAAUCCCCGGCCCUGGUGAAUUUCUAGAUAACAGCCAUUCUUUCUGGAGUGGGAUGGAACCUCAGUGUUGUUUUAAUUUGCAUCUCUUGAAUGACCAGUGAUGCUGAACAUUUUUUCAUAUAUUUAUUUGCCAUUUCUACUUCU
rnacentral:lncRNA from 1 species